rnacentral:misc_RNA from 1 species
GGACAAGAAGAAGAUUGAGGAUGCGAUUGAGGCGGCGAUUCAGUGGCUUGACAACAACCAGCUUGCGGAGGCUGAUGAGUUCGAUGACAAGAUGAAGGAGCUCGAGAGUAUCUGCAAUCCGAUCAUUGCUAAAAUGUAUCAGGGUUCUGGUGGUGUGCCUGGUGGUAUGGAUGAGGAUGAUGAGGGUCCUGCUCCAAGCGGCAGCGGUGCUGGUCCUAAGAUUGAGGAG